GGGAGCAUAGCUCAAUUGGUAGAGCGCUUGCUUUGCACGUAAGAGGUUAUCGGUUCAAGUCCGUUUGUUUCCA
rnacentral:tRNA from 1 species